rnacentral:rRNA from 1 species
GCGUGUGUUACCUUCGCAUGGACGAAGUCUGACGGAGCAACGCCGCGUGAGUGAUGAAGGCUUUCGGGUCGUAAAACUCUGUUGUUAGGGAAGAACAAGUGCUAGUUGAAUAAGCUGGCACCUUGACGGUACCUAACCAGAAAGCCACGGCUAACUACGUGCCAGCAGCCGCGGUAAUACGUAGGUGGCAAGCGUUAUCCGGAAUUAUUGGGCGUAAAGCGCGCGCAGGUGGUUUCUUAAUCUGAUGUGAAAGCCCACGGCUCAACCGUGGAGGGUCAUUGGAAACUGGGAGACUUGAGUGCAGAAGAGGAAAGUGGAAUUCCAUGUGUAGCGGUGAAAUGCGUAGAGAUAUGGAGGAACACCAGUGGCGAAGGCGACUUUCUGGUCUGUAACUGACACUGAGGCGCGAAAGCGUGGGGAGCAAACAGGAUUAGAUACCCUGGUAGUCCACGCCGUAAACGAUGAGUGCUAAGUGUUAGAGGGUUUCCGCCCUUUAGUGCUGAAGUUAACGCAUUAAACACUCCCCCUGGGAAGUACGGCCGCAAGGCUGAAACUCAAAGGAAUUGACGGGGGCCCGCACCGCGGUGGAGCAUGUGGGAUACUUCGAAACGACGCGACGAACCUUUCUAGUCCAGACAUCCUCUGCAAAACACUAAAGAUAGGGCUUCCCCCUCGGAAGCAAGUAAAAGGGGUGACGGAUUGCCGUCAGCUCGAGGAGAGAGAGGAGUUUAAUCACGCAGCAAACUCCACUCAUUGACCUUAGCUGUUUCAUAGUUGACGACACAAAAGCGACAGAAAAGACAAAGGAAAAAGUACGAAGCCGUAGAUCCAAUGGACCUCACGACCCGCCGUCUGCGUUUCUCAUAUGUAUCGAUAUGUAUUACCAGACUAUAGACUUGCGAAUAUAUUUUCUUUGGGUACUCGUGUGUUAAUCGGUGGCUGAGCCAAUCCUCC